rnacentral:ncRNA from 1 species
UACUCUGGAGAGUCUUGUUUGCUCAAGCGCCGAAGGUGUACGGCUUUUUAAGCUAAUCUCUCAGGCAAAAGGACAGAGC